rnacentral:rRNA from 1 species
CAGCACCUCAAGUGGUCAGGAUGAUUGUUGGGCCUAAAGCAUCCGUAGCCGGCGCUGUAAGUUUUCGGUUAAAUCUGUACGCUCAACGUACAGGCUGCCGGGAAUACUGCAGCGCUAGGGAGUGGGAGAGGUAGACGGUACUCGGUAGGAAGGGGUAAAAUCCUUUGAUCUAUUGAUGACCACCUGUGGCGAAGGCGGUCUACCAGAACACGUCCGACGGUGAGGGAUGAAAGCUGGGGGAGCAAACCGGAUUAGAGACCCGAGUAGUCC